rnacentral:rRNA from 1 species
AACUUUCAACAACGGAUCUCUUGGUUCUGGCAUCGAUGAAGAACGCAGCGAAAUGCGAUAAGUAAUGUGAAUUGCAGAAUUCAGUGAAUCAUCGAAUCUUUGAACGCACAUUGCGCCCACCAGUAUUCUGGUGGGCAUGCCUGUCCGAGCGUCAU